rnacentral:lncRNA from 1 species
GUCCCAACUCACACAGCAGUGGCAGAACCUACUACGCCUGAGCAACAGGCUGGACAUGACACGGAGCUGAGGAUGGGACAACUAAGUUUCUCAGCCGUUUGGUUCCCAAAACUUCCCCUCCCCCAGAGACCACCUGAAAAUUGCCGAGAGCCUUGGUGAGCCAUAGUUAAUCUUUCUGCCUGUUGCACCCAUUGCAAUAAUAAUAAUAAUUAUAAUAAUAAUAGUAUUUAUACCCCACCCAUCUGGCUGGGUUUUCCCAGCCACUCUGGGCGGCUUCCAAUCAAGUGUUAAAAACAAUACAGCAUUAAAUAUUAAAAAUUUCCCUAAACAGGGCUGCCUUCAGAUGUCUUUUAAAAAUAGAAUAGCUGCUUAUUUCCUUCACAUCUGAAGGGAGGGUGUUCCACAGGGCGGGCGCCACCACCGAGAAGGCCUUCUGCCUGGUUCCCUGUAACCUCACUUCUUGCCAUGAGGGAGUAUUUUGCAAUGUGUUGUGCUACGUGCUGUACGGUUUUUUAUUGAACUUUUGCAGACAGACCACAGACCACUCAGAUGAACUCUUGGGCCACUGCUUUGGGAGCCCCUCUUCUAAGAAACAAGCCAGGUGGAAGAGAGACCCUCUCUGUGAUCUGCUGGAAAACCUGCAUGGAACCCAGCCCAAGAAUACCAAGAGAGGUGUGCAUUUUACACAAACGGCAAGUGUGCGUUGACUCUUAAAAGUACCAGGGCAGCACAGCUGGUCUUCCCCUUGAAAGCCACCCCCCCAACAGAGUAUAGUGUAGUGUUAGUGUAUUCCACUAACAGAGAGACCAUCAUCCCACUUCUCUAAGUGGGUGCUUGUAAAAUGCGAAGGUUGUAAUUCAGUUUGAGACCCAAGGAGGAGUCCCUUUGAAUUCCUGUAAUCCAGUUUGACAGGCCUCACCUCAUUCAGCUGGUGUACUUUUUGCCGACAAGAACUUCUUGCGUCUUGGCGAACCCCUCCGCCUCCACCUUGGCUCAGCCGUUUUAUCUCCAAGCCACAGAGAAAAUGGGUGGGGUGGGGUGGGGUGGGGUGGGAGGUGGCCUUCCUGGUUCCUGUGCGCAGAAGCCCCCGCUCUGGGCUCUGAAGCAGGGUCAGCCUUGGCGGAGCUGUGAAGCCAUGGCCAGAUGCAAGACCACAGAUGGCACCUGGCAGGGACUGCCCCCCCCCCACUGAAGCUGGGAGAAGCCCUCUUGGAUGAAAAGGAUAAGGAAUGGUCAUGAGAUGCCUGGAUUGAACCCUGGGAAAACUCAGCUAGCAGUGAGAGGAAGAACUGGACACCCCAUGGGAUUAUCGGGAGGAAUCUUGCAGUUACGACUGACAGGCAGAGAGCUGGAAGUCACUUUUAUUCAUCUCUCUCUCUUGCUUUAUUCUGUUAUUGUUCUUAUUCCUUUGCUCUUAUCCAUCACUUUCAUUUUUCUAUUUCUUCCUGUUAUUUUAUUACUUCCUUUUAAGACUCUCAAUGGAUUUUGGAAAGAAUUGCAUGCAGGUGAAGAUGAUGGAAAGCUGGUGAAGGACCCCCGUAUGAGAGGCAAGGAAGGGGAGAUUUCCCGGGGGGGGGGAGGCUGGGGGAAGGAAGGGCUGCCCCCAGGUGAGAGCUGGGAGGGCACACCCUUCCCUCUAUGAGAGAAAAGUUAGCAUAUAUCAGUGAGAGGGG